AAUAAGAUGCCUGAAAAAGGAUUAUUUUGAUGUAAUAAAUUAUGUAACUGUUUACUCUUAUUA
rnacentral:tRNA from 1 species